rnacentral:rRNA from 1 species
GACGAACGCUGGCGGCGUGCUUAACACAUGCAAGUCGAACGGAAAGGCCCUGCUUUUGUGGGGUGCUCGAUUGGCGAACGGGUGAGUAACACGUGAGUAACCUGCCCUUGACUUUGGGAUAACUUCAGGAAACUGGGGCUAAUACCGGAUAGGAUCUCCUCCUGCAUUGUGGGGGUUGGAAAGUUUCGGCGGUUGGGGAUGGACUCGCGGCUUAUCAGCUUGUUGGUGGGGUAGUGGCUUACCAAGGCUUUGACGGGUAGCCGGCAUGAGAGGGUGACCGGCCACAAUGGGACUGAGAUACGGCGCAGACUCCAACGGGAGGCAGCAGUGGGGAAUAUUGCACAAUGGGCGGAAGCCGGAUGCAGAAACGCCGGGUGCGGGAUGACGGCCUUCGGGUUGUAAAAAGCAUUCGCCUGUGACGAAGCGUGAGUGACGGUAAUGGGUAAAGAAGCACCGGCUAACUACGUG